rnacentral:lncRNA from 1 species
AUGCCACAGCUCACGGCAAUGCGGAUCCCUGACCCACUGAGUGAGGCCAGUGGUGGAACCUGCAUCUUCAUGGAUACUAGUCAGAUUUGUUUUUGCUGUGCCACAAUAGGAACUCCAAUAAUACCAUCUGAGCCUAAGUGGAAGCACUUUUGUCUGGAAAAACUGGAGCCCAGAAGGAUGAGAGAAAGAACCUGUUCCCUCCUAUCAAAGUUUGUUUUCAUGCCCUGUGGAAGCAGAAUAUUGGAGUGGUUAAGAGCACAAGCUCUUUGUCAAUCUGCCUUGCUUUGAAGUCUGGAUCCACCAAUAAUAAGCUGAGUGAUGUUUGUCAAUCUAUUUAACCUUUCUGUGGCUUUGUUUAUUCAUGAAAAAUAAUGGGAAAAUGGGAGUCAUAAUUCUACCUGGUGCAGAGAAUUCUUAUGAAAAUCAAGUGAGGCAAUGUAUGUAAGUUACUUAUAAUAAUUUCUGGCACUCAAUAAGAGGCGCUCAAUAAAUUUUGUUCUUAUUAACUAUUCUUAAUGCUA